rnacentral:lncRNA from 1 species
GCGCCUCUGGUGCAUUCCCUGCAGCGCUCCCGGUGCAUUCCCUGCAGCGCUCCCGGUGCAUUUCCUGCCGUGCUCCCGGUGCAUUCGCUGCAGCGCUGUCGGCGCAUUUCCUGCAGCUCUCCCGGUGCAUUUCCUGCACCGCUGUUGGUGCAUUCCCUGCAGCGCUCCCAGUGCAUUUCCCUGCAGCGCUCCCGGUGCAUUUCCCUGCAGCUCUCCCGGUGCAUUCCCUGCAGCUCUCCCGGUGCAUUUCCCUGCAGCUCUCCCGGUGCAUUUCCCUGCAGCUCUCCCAGUGCAUUCCCUGCAGCGCUCCCAGUGCAUUCCCUGCAGCGCUCCUGGUGCAUUUCCCUGCAGCGCUCCCAGUGCAUUCCCUGCAGCGCUCCCGGUGCAUUCCCUGCAGCUGCCGUCGGUGCAUUCCCUGCAGUGCUCCCGGUGCAUUCCCUGCAGCGCUCCCAGUGCAUUUCCUGCAGCGCUCCCGGUGCAUUCCCUGCAGCUGCUGUCAGUGCAUUCCCUGCAGUGCUCCCGGUGCAUUCCCUGCAGCGCUGUUGGUGCAUUUCCUGCAGCUGCUGCCGGUGCAUUUCCUGCAGCUGCUGCCGGUGCAUUUCCUUCAGCGCUUUCAGUGCAUUCCCUGCAGCGCUCCCGGUGCAUUCCCUGCAGUGCUCCCGGUGCAUUCCCUGCAGCGCUCCCAGGGCUCAGGACGGCGUUUCCCGGCACAGGACAGAGGAUUUUUUCCAUUUUCCAUCCCGGCUGCAGCUCGGGCCAGGAGCUCUCUGAAAGCGCCACAGCAGAAAUGUUCCUCUGGGCUGCUCUGCGGGCACAGAAAUGCGUUCCCAAGGCCGCUGGUUAGAGGAGGAGCUCGUUAUCCCGCAGGAAUUCCUGGUGAGCUCGGGAGGAGCUCGGCACAGGUGCUGGGAAGGCAGAAUCAGAAAGAAAUGACAAAUAUGACUCUUUGGCCAGAAAGGCUCAGGAGGAAAUAGAAAUGAAAGCGGGGUUUGAAUAAUUCAAAAUAAUUCAAAAUAAUUCAAAAUAAUUCAAACUAAUUCAAAGGAACCAGGCUGGUGUGGCAGAACACAUUCUGUCCCCCAAUAAAACUCAGCUCUCCCCAGCCUCA